CAGUCGAGCGAGCUUGCCAGAUGAGUUUGGUGCUUGCACCAGAUGAAACUAGAUACAAGCGAGCGGCGGACGGGUGAGUAACACGUGGGUAACCUGCCCAAGAGACUGGGAUAACACCUGGAAACAGAUGCUAAUACCGGAUAACAACACUAGACGCAUGUCUAGAGUUUAAAAGAUGGUUCUGCUAUCACUCUUGGAUGGACCUGCGGUGCAUUAGCUAGUUGGUAAGGUAACGGCUUACCAAGGCAAUGAUGCAUAGCCGAGUUGAGAGACUGAUCGGCCACAUUGGGACUGAGACACGGCCCAAACUCCUACGGGAGGCAGCAGUAGGGAAUCUUCCACAAUGGACGCAAGUCUGAUGGAGCAACGCCGCGUGAGUGAAGAAGGGUUUCGGCUCGUAAAGCUCUGUUGGUAGUGAAGAAAGAUAGAGGUAGUAACUGGCCUUUAUUUGACGGUAAUUACUUAGAAAGUCACGGCUAACUACGUGCCAGCAGCCGCGGUAAUACGUAGGUGGCAAGCGUUGUCCGGAUUUAUUGGGCGUAAAGCGAGUGCAGGCGGUUCAAUAAGUCUGAUGUGAAAGCCUUCGGCUCAACCGGAGAAUUGCAUCAGAAACUGUUGAACUUGAGUGCAGAAGAGGAGAGUGGAACUCCAUGUGUAGCGGUGGAAUGCG
rnacentral:rRNA from 1 species